rnacentral:rRNA from 1 species
AUUGAACGCUGGCGGCAGGCCUAACACAUGCAAGUCGAACGGUAACAGGAAGCAGCUUGCUGCUUUGCUGACGAGUGGCGGACGGGUGAGUAAUGUCUGGGAAACUGCCCGAUGGAGGGGGAUAACUACUGGAAACGGUAGCUAAUACCGCAUAACGUCGCAAGACCAAAGAGGGGGACCUUAGGGCCUCUUGCCAUCGGAUGUGCCCAGAUGGGAUUAGCUAGUAGGUGGGGUAACGGCUCACCUAGGCGACGAUCCCUAGCUGGUCUGAGAGGAUGACCAGCCACACUGGAACUGAGACACGGUCCAGACUCCUACGGGAGGCAGCAGUGGGGAAUAUUGCACAAUGGGCGCAAGCCUGAUGCAGCAAUGCCGCGUGUAUGAAGAAGGCCUUCGGGUUGUAAAGUACUUUCAGCGGGGAGGAAGGAAGUAAAGUUAAUACCUUUGCUCAUUGACGGUACCCGCAGAAGAAGCACCGGCUAACUCCGUG